rnacentral:rRNA from 1 species
AUUGAACGCUGGCGGCAGGCCUAACACAUGCAAGUCGAGCGGCAGCGGGAAGUAGCUUGCUACUUUGCCGGCGAGCGGCGGACGGGUGAGUAAUGUCUGGGAAACUGCCUGAUGGAGGGGGAUAACUACUGGAAACGGUAGCUAAUACCGCAUGACCUCGCAAGAGCAAAGUGGGGGACCUUCGGGCCUCACGCCAUCGGAUGUGCCCAGAUGGGAUUAGCUAGUAGGUGAGGUAAUGGCUCACCUAGGCGACGAUCCCUAGCUGGUCUGAGAGGAUGACCAGCCACACUGGAACUGAGACACGGUCCAGACUCCUACGGGAGGCAGCAGUGGGGAAUAUUGCACAAUGGGCGCAAGCCUGAUGCAGCCAUGCCGCGUGUGUGAAGAAGGCCUUCGGGUUGUAAAGCACUUUCAGCGAGGAGGAAGGGUUCAGUGUUAAUAGCACUGUGCAUUGACGUUACUCGCAGAAGAAGCACCGGCUAACUCCGUGCCAGCAGCCGCGGUAAUACGGAGGGUGCAAGCGUUAAUCGGAAUUACUGGGCGUAAAGCGCACGCAGGCGGUUUGUUAAGUCAGAUGUGAAAUCCCCGAGCUUAACUUGGGAACUGCAUUUGAAACUGGCAAGCUAGAGUCUUGUAGAGGGGGGUAGAAUUCCAGGUGUAGCGGUGAAAUGCGUAGAGAUCUGGAGGAAUACCGGUGGCGAAGGCGGCCCCCUGGACAAAGACUGACGCUCAGGUGCGAAAGCGUGGGGAGCAAACAGG